GCUGGGUGUGGUGGCGGGCACCUGUAAUCCCAGCUACACAGGAGGCUGAGGCAGGAGAAUUGCUUGAACCUGGGAGGCAGAGGUUGCAGUGAGCCAAGAUUGCACCACUGCACUCCGGACUGGGUGACAGAGCAAGAUGCCAUCUCAGAAAAAAAAAAAAAAAAAUAGCCCAGUGUCAGAAGGUGGGAGGGUUUCGGGGGAUGAUGGAGUGGUAAGUUCAUGACUGCAUGUUUCUUUUCUUGAGACAAAGUCUCGCUCCGUUGCCCAGGCUGGAGUGCGGUGGUGCAAUCUUGGCUCACUGCAACCUCCAUCUUCUGGGUUCAAGCAAUUCUCCUGCCUCAG
rnacentral:SRP_RNA from 1 species